rnacentral:rRNA from 1 species
GAUGAACGCUGGCGGCGUGCCUAAUACAUGCAAGUCGAGCGAACAGACGAGGAGCUUGCUCCUCUGACGUUAGCGGCGGACGGGUGAGUAACACGUGGAUAACCUACCUAUAAGACUGGGAUAACUUCGGGAAACCGGAGCUAAUACCGGAUAACAUGUUGAACCGCAUGGUUCAACAGUGAAAGACGGUCUUGCUGUCACUUGUAGAUGGAUCCGCGCCGCAUUAGCUAGUUGGUAAGGUAACGGCUUACCAAGGCAACGAUGCGUAGCCGACCUGAGAGGGUGAUCGGCCACACUGGAACUGAGACACGGUCCAGACUCCUACGGGAGGCAGCAGUAGGGAAUCUUCCGCAAUGGGCGAAAGCCUGACGGAGCAACGCCGCGUGAGUGAAGAAGGUCUUCGGAUCGUAAAACUCUGUUAUUAGGGAAGAACAAAUGUGUAAGUAACUAUGCACGUCUUGACGGUACCUAAUCAGAAAGCCACGGCUAACUACGUG